AAGUCGUAACAAGGUUUCCGUAGGUGAACCUGCGGAAGGAUCAUUAACACAAUUUUACUGUGAUAAAAUCCGUUGAAUUCUCUCUCGAGAAUUCAAUGGUAUCCACCCCAUUAUUGACGAACUUUUCUUAGAUGUUUCAAAAAACAUAGAGCUUUGUCUUUACGUAUUUUGAAAACAUUCUAAAAACCUUUUUCUUUACCCUAUAACAUUUUUUAACCCCUUUUACAACAUGCCUUAGACUGAAAUGAAAAUUUCUUUAUUAUCAAAAAAUGAUAAAAAACAACUCUUAACAACGGAUAUCUUGGCUCUC
rnacentral:misc_RNA from 1 species